rfam:Limnohabitans sp. 63ED37-2, complete genome.
UUACCCAAGGAGCGUUGCAGCCCGCCGCCGUCAAGGCGCAGCGGGUCAGGCUUGGGGCCGUUCAAUGUCUGAAUGAUUUUGCACAACGACGCUCACCUGAU